GUACUAAAUCUAGCCUACUUAUUUUCUACAAGUAAUUUUAACAAAUAAAAUAAAACAUUUUACCACUUUAGUAUAGGAGAUAGAAAAAUUUACUUAGAGCAAUAAAAAUAGUACUGUAAAGGAAAAAUGAAAUAGAAAUUAAAUAAAACACAAAAACAAUAAAAAGCAAAGAUUUAACCUUGUACCUUUUGCAUCAUGGUCUAGUAAGUUUAACCUAACAUAAAGAACUUAAGUUAGACAUCCCGAAACUAAACGAGCUACUCCGAAGCAGCAUAUAUGAGCCAACCCUUCUCUGUAGCAAAAGAGUGGGAUGACUUCCGAGUAGUGGUGACAAACCUACCGAGCUUAG
rnacentral:rRNA from 1 species